AGUUCCGCAAUUUUCUUUUAACUUAUGGCUCUCCCCGUAUAGUUAAAAUACUUUCUUGAAAACGUUGGUUGCUCUUAGAUGUCGUAAAAAAGGGUCGGGUCUAAUGGAUGAACUGUUAUGAACUAUAAAUAUACGAACUUUUAAUUAUAACUCGGUUUAUUACUAUUGGGAACGUGUCGACAUCACAUCGGUCUAAUUAUGGUUAACUACGUCGCGGAACGAAAAUAAUGAAAAAUUGGUAAUAAACCAAUAUCGAAGAAGAGACCCCCCUAAAAAUGUGUUUAUUUAAUCCCAGUUAGACGGGACUAAGUCAGUAGUGCACAGUUCGUUGAGCGAAGAAGGUGUUCUUCCUUUGGUAGCAAGGGCUACCCUGCGUCCCAUGACGGGAUCCAGACAUCAUCGUUCCUGAGCUAGGAGGUGAUGUCCUUGCCAAUUACUACAGCAAUCCUGCUGCAUUGUACGUCCCUGAGAGGAGAGUUUUUAAGGUACCAAAACAAGUUUUAAAGUACAUUUUACGUUGCUGCGGUAUCAUCAGAUACCCCUUUUUCUCCAAAUAACUUUUAACGUCGCGAAGUGCGCGAAUUUGCAAAGACAUUGGGUCUUUAAUCGUAUAGACAUUCAUUUUAAACGUAUCUCUAUAUUUUUCUGUGUUGUAUCAUAUUAUAAUAAUAAUUAUUGCAUGUGUUUUAUUUAGCAUUACACUUUAUUGACAUAUAUUAUAUCCAUAUAUUGAUUUUAUUGAUUUUAAUAGGGUGCCUUUCUCGUAAUAAACGCUUGUUAAUAUUUUCCUUUCAUUAUUAUACUCUGGUAUCAUUGACCUACCGAAAUUCGAUAUUGUUUUGCCCUAAUAAUUUACGACCAUAAAAUUCUUUCUUUAAAAAAGGGGCUGUUUAUCGGUAUCAGAUUCGCUCCGGAGAUUUAACGUCUUAGCUGUUUAGAAUACUAUUAAUUAUUGUUGUAUUUCCUUUACGAUAUUUCUAACAGCUGAUUUGGUAAGGUCAAUGGCAAUAUUGUAUCUAUUAAUUGGGUCAGUGGUUUUUCUGAACUUUUUAUAAUUGUAUCUGUUUGUCUGUAUUGUCAAAAUAUUUGUGUAAGUUUGCAAAUAAUUCGUCGUCUUAACAUUAAAUGAUGUAUUGUAGCUA